GAGGAAACAAAACAAAACAACAAUGAAUCAAAAAGAGAUGAAGAGGAGAGGAAAAAAUCACAGAGAUUAACGAGAUGGAGGGAGAUUUAUAGGCUUCCCUCCUGAGAAAGAGGAAAACGUGAUUUAUCCCAAGAGACAGACAGAGCAUGUGACGGGUUCACGGCCGGGUCGUCUCCAAGCAACGUUCAAGAAACGACUAAACUGACCUUUUGCUGACCCCUGAUAUUCAAUGAAGCACCAACAUCAGCGUGUGAUGAUAUUCUGGUUCCCAUCACAUGACAGCAGCGUCUGAAAAACUGCUGCGAAUGUUCAGAGACACGGAAAAUACUUUAAAAAGUUAAUUUUAAUUGAUUUUCUCUGCAAAAACACAAACUAUUACCCGUUCUAGUUUCUAGAUCAGGUAGAUCUAGUCUCAUUUGAAAUGAGACUAAACUAAUUUACAAGUAACUUUUCAUGUUUUCAUGCAAAUAUAAGAGCUUGUUUUAAGUCAAUAAUUCCCUAAUAUUGAUUGAAAAUACUACCAGCAGAUUAUUGCACUUACAACAUGGGAAAAAUACCAGCGAUGUCCAAAGUGUGGCACAGGGGCCAUUUGCGGUCCUCUGAAUGAUUUUGUUUGGCUCCUCUGCCCACAGAGGGUCUAGUGGAGAACAAAACACCAGACUGAAGACAUUUAUCAUUCAGUUUUUAGUAAAAAAAAAA